ACCGCUUGAGUGGAUGUCCGGUUUAAGUAAAUUAUAAUUAACACGGCCGACCCUCUCAAUAUUCUCACGGAAAUUCUCAGAAAACCCCUCUCCCAGAUCAGGAUGAACUGUGUCGCGCCGGCUCGAACUAGGCUCUGUGUGCGACAAAGUUUUUUCAAGAAGCCCUGGGAAAUUAUCAUGGUCAAUCUGCUCCAUCAGCUCACGGAAGCCCUUAUCCAUAUCAACCUGAAUUUCACCCAUUGAAACAGUAACUGGUUGCUCUUGUUGCAUUGUUGCCACCACUCUACUAGCCAAGGCAUCAGGCGUGCUAUGAAAUGGCAUGCUCUGCCCUGAAGAAGUGGAGGUUAAAGGAUCCUCAGUCCCCUCCAUCUCCUCCUCCUUGGCGCUGUCCCAACCAGCAAAAAAUUGCUCUAAGAGGUCGUCUAAUGAGUCGGGAGGCAAAUGAAGAUUGUUGGCAUCCCUCGUCAUUCCCUUCACGUUAGGAGCCAUGCCAAUACCAUG
rnacentral:sRNA from 1 species